UUAAAGGAAUUGACGGGGAGCACCACAACGGGUGGAGCUUGCGGUUUAAUUGGAUUCAACGCCGGAAAUCUUACCGGGACCGACAGCAAUAUGAAGGCCAGGCUGAAGACUUUGCCGGAUUAGCUGAGAGGUGGUGCAUGGCCGUCGUCAGUUCGUACUGUGAAGCAUCCUGUUAAGUCAGGCAACGAGCGAGACCCACGCCCACAGUUGCCAGCGUACUCUCUGGAGUGACGGGUACACUGUGGGGACCGCCGCUGCUAAAGCGGAGGAAGGAAUGGGCAACGGUAGGUCAGUAUGCCCCGAAUAUCCCGGGCUACACGCGAGCUACAAUGGUUGGUACAAUGGGUAUCUACCCCGAAAGGGGACGGGAAUCUCCUAAAACCAAUCUUAGUUCGGAUUGAGGGCUGCAACUCGCCCUCAUGAAGCUGGAAUCCGUAGUAAUCGCGUUUCAACAGAACGCGCUGAAUACGUCCCUGCUCCUU
rnacentral:rRNA from 1 species